GAUAACAGUUAGAAAUGGCUGCUAAUACCGCAUAAGACCACAGCACCGCAUGGUGCAGGGGUAAAAACUCCGGUGGUAUGAGAUGGCCUCGCGUCCGAUUAGCUAGUUGGUGAGGUAAUGGCCCACCAAGGCAACGAUCGGUAGCCGGACUGAGAGGUUGAACGGCCACAUUGGGACUGAGACACGGCCCAGACUCCUACGGGAGGCAGCAGUGGGGAAUAUUGCACAAUGGGGGAAACCCUGAUGCAGCGACGCCGCGUGGAGGAAGAAGGUCUUCGGAUUGUAAACUCCUGUUGUUGAGGAAUUUUAUGACGGUACUCAACAAGGAAGUGACGGCUAACUACGUGCCAGCAGCCGCGGUAAAACGUAGGUCACAAGCGUUGUCCGGAAUUACUGGGUGUAAAGGGAGCGCAGGCGGGAAGACAAGUUGGAAGUGAAAUCUAUGGGCUCAACCCAUAAACUGCUUUCAAAACUGUUUUUCUUGAGUAGUGCAGAGGUAGGCGGAAUUCCCGGUGUAGCGGUGGAAUGCGUAGAUAUCGGGAGGAACACCAGUGGCGAAGGC
rnacentral:rRNA from 1 species